AAACGCUUGAAGUCAGUCGCGUUGUGCGGGAUUCAGCCUGGCUUUUGCUUGGUUUACUUCCUGUAUGACGGGUCAGCAUCAGUUUUGAGCGGUGGAUAAGGGCGUAGGGAAUGUGGCAUCUUCGGAUGUGUUAUAGCCUUGCGUCGUAUACAUCGCUUGGGACUGAGGAACUCAGCACGCCGCAAGGCCGGGUUUUUAACCACGUUCGUGCUUAGGAUGCUGGCAUAAUGGCUUUAAUCGA
rnacentral:rRNA from 1 species